CAGCAGUGGGGAAUAUUGGGCAAUGGGCGAAAGCCUGACCCAGCAACGCCGCGUGAGGGAAGAAGGGUUUCGGCUCGUAAACCUCUGUCCUAUGGGACGAAGAAGUGACGGUACCAUAGGAGGAAGCCCCGGCUAACUACGUGCCAGCAGCCGCGGUAAUACGUAGGGGGCAAGCGUUGUCCGGAAUUAUUGGGCGUAAAGCGCGCGUAGGCGGUUUUUUAAGUCCGAUGUGAAAGCCCACGGCUCAACCGUGGAGGGUCAUUGGAAACUGGAAAACUUGAGUGCAGAAGAGGAAAGUGGAAUUCCAUGUGUAGCGGUGAAAUGCGCAGAGAUAUGGAGGAACACCAGUGGCGAAGGCGACUUUCUGGUCUGUAACUGACGCUGAUGUGCGAAAGCGUGGGGAUCAAACAGGAUUAGAUACCCUGGUAGUCCACGCCGUAAACGAUGAGUGCUAAGUGUUAGGGGGUUUCCGCCCCUUAGUGCUGCAGCUAACGCAUUAAGCACUCCGCCUGGGGAGUACGACCGCAAGGUUG
rnacentral:rRNA from 1 species